UUUUUUAUUUGAUGGUUGAACACUUAAAAUUCUGUAUUAAUUAAAGAAGUCUUACUUAAAAGAUUAAUUAAGCCAACAAAUUUUAUAAUCCAAUGAAUUUUGUUUAAAUAUUUGCAAAUUUUUGGUUUGAUUUGUUGUGUUUUGUAUACUGUGUUUUUUGUCUUUUCAUUGUUUUUCGUUAUGUUUUUUUUUUAUUUAAUUUUUCGAUUUAUGAGUUUGAUUAUCCUUUUGAAAUCCCUUGCCUCUCUUUUGCAAAAAGUAUUGUAGCCAUUAAAUUUUAGAAUGAUACUGGUGAAACUAAAUCAUAAAACAAAUUAGCCAUGACUUAGUAUAUCAUUGUGAACUGAAGUAAUAUCCGUCCAUAGUUGAACAUCAGAGAGUGGAAUUUCACAGGGUGGAAUGUCAGAGGGAGAAACGUCUGUGUAGAAGUGAAUGUAGAAAUGGUUGGUUUAGUGAAGGAUGAUGAGAUACACUCAAAUGAACUGACGUUUCCGGAACUAGUAUUAUUUCAAUUGUGUUAUUUUGCACAUAUGUUAUGUUAUUUGUGUAUCGUUUAUAACAUCACACUAUUGUAGCACACGAGUUAUUUUAGAAAUACUUCUAAUUGCAUUGUACAAUAUAAUGAUAUUACAAUAAGGCUCUUCAUUAAACUAAUAUUUAGAUACACCAAUAAAAUAU
rnacentral:lncRNA from 1 species